rnacentral:rRNA from 1 species
AGAAGAUGAUAAGGGCGCAUGGUGGAUGCCUUGGCACAGGAAGCCGAAGAAGGACGUGACAAGCUGCGAUAAGCUACGGUUAGGGGCACUUACCCUUUGAUCCGUAGAUCUCCGAAUGGGCAAACCCGGCGGGAGUCAUUUCCCGUCGCCACACGUUGAAUUCAUAGACGUGUUGGAGGUAACCCGGGGAACUGAAACAUCUAAGUACCCGGAGGAAAAGAAAUCAAACGAGAUUCCCCUAGUAGUGGCGAGCGAACGGGGAUCUAGGCCAAACCGAUGGUUGCGUAAGCGCUGUCGGGGUUGUGGGGCUGUACAUAUGGCAGUUAUCAAACAUCUUGGAAGCAGAAUGAUCUGAGAAGGUCAACAAGAAAGGGUUAGAGUCCCGUAUGUGAAUCCAAAAUGUCUGUCGUACAGUUCCCGAGUACUGCCGGACACGUGAAACCCGGUGGGAAACUGGGGGGACCACCCUCCAAGCCUAAAUACUCUCCUGUGACCGAUAGUGAACUAGUACCGUGAGGGAAAGGUGAAAAGCACCCCGAGAGGGGAGUGAAAUAGUACCUGAAACCAUGUGCCUACAAGCAGUCGGAGCCCCUUUGGGGGUGACGGCGUGCCUUUUGUAGAAUGAGCCAGCGAGUUACGGUGUGUGGCGAGGUUAAGCCAUAAAGCGAGCCGCAGCGACAGCGAGUCCUAAUUGGGCGUUUAGUCGCAUACCGUAGACGCGAAGCCAGGUGAGCUAUCCAUGGGCAGGCUGAAGCGGGGGUAAGACCCCGUGGAGGGCCGAACCCACCUAGGUUGAAAACUGGGGGGAUGACCUGUGGAUAGGAGUGAAAGGCCUAUCAAACCUGGAGAUAUCUCGUUCUCCCCGAAAUAGCUUUAGGGCUAGCCUCAAGCGUUUAUCAACGGAGGUAGAGCACUGGAUGGUAGCAGGGGCCUCACCGCCUACUAACACCAACCAAACUCCGAAUGCCGUUGAUCUAGAGCUUGGGAGUCAGAAUAUGUGGGCUAAGCUGUGUAUUCGAAAGGGAAACAGCCCAGACCGUCCGCUAAGGUCCCGAAAUUCAUGUUAAGUGGCAAAGGAUGUGCGUUUGCUCAGACAACCAGGAUGUUGGCUCAGAAGCAGCCAUUCAUUUAAAGAGUGCGUAAUAGCUCACUGGUCGAGUGGACAUGCGCCGACAAUAUACGGGGCUAAGCAUGAUACCGAAGCGACGGAUCAGUAUUUAUACUGGUGGUAGGGGAGCUUUCCGCUUGGAGUGAAGCUAAAGGAUAACCUUUAGUGGACUGAUCGGAAGUGAGAAUGCUGGCAUGAGUAACGAGAGAGGCGUGGAAAACGCCUCCGCCGUAAACCUAAGGUUUCCUGGGCAAGGCUAAUCCUCCCAGGGUCAGUCGGGAGCUAAGGCGAGGCCGGAAGGCGUAGUCGAUGCAUAGCAGGUAGAUAUUCCUGCACCUCCGAAACGGUGUUUGAGCAAUGGGGUGACGGAGAAGGGUAGCUUGGCGGGGUUCUGGACGUCCCCGUGAAGUCGCGUAGGUUGGAAGGCUGUGAAAUGCGCCUUUCAUAUAGCUGAGGCGACUGACGAAACGAUUGAGCGAAGUAAGUGAGCCCAUGCUUCCAAGAAAAACCUCUAGUUAGCCGCAAGGAGCCCGUACCGCAAACCGACACAGGUGGGUGGGUAGAACAUACCAAGGCGAUCGGGAGAACCAUGGUUAAGGAACUCGGCAAAAUGACCCCGUAACUUCGGGAGAAGGGGAGGCCAUUUAAGUGAAAGGACUUGCUCCUUGAGCUCUAGUGGCCCGCAGAUGAGAGGCCCAAACGACUGUUUAUCAAAAACACAGGACUCUGCUGAAGUCGUAAGACGACGUAUAGGGUCUGACGCCUGCCCGGUGCCGGAAGGUCACGAGGAGCUGUUAGCGCAAGCGAAGCGGCGAAUCUAAGCCCCGGUAAACGGCGGCCGUAACUAUAACGGUCCUAAGGUAGCGAAAUUCCUUGUCGGGUAAGUUCCGACCUGCACGAAAGGCGUAACGAUUUGGGCACUGUCUCAACCAUGGACCCGGUGAAAUUGCACUAGUCGUGAAGAUGCGACUUACCCGCAGAAGGACGGAAAGACCCCGUGAACCUUUACUGCAGCUUGACAUUGGCUGCCGGUGCGUCGUGUAGAGGAUAGGUGGGAGACUAUGAACCAGGGACGCCAGUUUCUGGGGAGUCACCCUUGGAAUACCACCCUCGACGCUCUGGCAUCCUAACCCGUGGCCGUAAUCCGGCAUGGGGACCGUGUCAGGUGGGUAGUUUGACUGGGGCGGUCGCCUCCUAAAAUGUAACGGAGGCGCACGUAAGGUCUGCUCAAGAUGGUCGGUAACCACCUUUUUGAGUGCAAGAGCAUAAGCAGGCUUGACUGCGAGACGUACAUGUCGAGCAGAUGGGAAACCAGGUUCUAGUGAUCCGGCGGCUCAGAGUGGAAUGGCCGUCGCUCAACGGAUAAAAGGUACUCCGGGGAUAACAGGCUGAUCUUCCCCAAGAGUCCACAUCGACGGGAAGGUUUGGCACCUCGAUGUCGGCUCAUCGCAUCCUGGGGCUGUAGUAGGUCCCAAG